UCGGACUCCUCCUUCUCCUAAUCCUCCUCUCCCUCCUCUCCUCCCCUACCUCCUCCUCCUCCUUCUAAUCCUCCUCCUCUUCUUACCUCUCUCCGCCCCUCCUCCUCUGACUCAUCCUCUCCUCUCGAUUCCUCCUCCCCUGACCUCUUCUCUUCCCCAACCCCCUCCUCCACCCCCUCCUCCUCUCUCCCCACCCUCUCCUACCCCCUCACCCCCCUGUGUCCCAAACUAUGGCACAAUAGGCCCCAGCUCCUCUGUCUAUUCUGUGUCCAGCAGGAGCCCGCGGUGAUUCAUUGCUCCAAUUAGGGGCUCUGCAGCCCGUGGCUCGGGCUGUCUGAAGGGUCUCCUUUGGGACCCACGAAACCCAUCAGCCGCUGCCGCUGAUCUUUAAGAAAAGGUCAAGCCGGACGCGCUAGUGCCAGAAUCAUCAGACCAUCUGGCAGGAUGGUGCUUUCCAUUAUUCCAGCACCCUGGAGAUGCACGGGAAGUUCAAGACCAGCCUGGGCUGCUUCGUGAAAACUGUCUCAAAAAGUGAGAACACAGCAGGGAUCAGGAUCCCUCUCUACGUGUUCCAGACUGGCUUACUGGCCUGCAACUCGCUGUGUAACCCAUGCUGGCCUUGAACUCACGACAGGACUCUUCCUUCAGCUUCCUGACUUAACAAAUGUAAACCACCAUGUCUAGCACGGACUCCACUGUUACAGUGACACCAGGAAACUCAUUUGAUGCCUUGCAGUGGCCUGGCCCUACUGCUGUACAGAGUCCCAACUCUUCCACCCCCCGGGUUGGCUCAGUAUGGCCCUACUCAGCCCCAGCACUGAGUCCUGAAGGAGGACUUGGCCGCCCCCAGCCCAGUGAGUCAGCCUCUUGGGUAGUCACCAUCUCUGCGGAGCCUCACCACACUUGCACGCCUCGCCUCCAGUCAGACUGCAGUUUCCUCAAAGGCCGGAAGCUCCAUUCAGGCGUCUUUGCUGUACCCAGCCCCUGUGGUGAAGAAGGAGCCCAAGGCCAGCUAAAGCACCGUGCAGUGCACUUCACACCAGCCUGUCCUUGUCCCCUAUCCCUGCAGAGCUCUGCCCCAGCCACCCACUCAGCCCCGUGCUUCAUCAUGACCUGACAUCACCACCUGACACCGGUGAGAGGCACUCUGAUCCCCCUCACCAGAAUCCCACCGUAUACCCAGAAGCAGCCACGCCAUCUUGGGACUCUCCCUUCUUUUUCCAGUAUCUUUGUGAGUACAGCUGUUCUCCUAUGCUAUUUCCCAGGGAUAGCCACCAAUUGGGCACUCAAAGACAGCUGGGUAAAGGCACUCUGACUUCUAGCUCAGUCCCACCUGGCCAGCUGAGAGACCUUUUCCAGCUGAGGGAAUCCCUGGGCCUUCCAACUUUCCAGUACAGAACCUGACUCAAAGAACAGUAAGUCCAAUUAAGACAUCCUAUCUGUGGCCUGCUACAGGUUAACCCAGUAAAUUUCCAUCUCAUUCCCCUUGGUGAUUUCAGAGCCACCAAAGUGUCCCCUGGACCUGUGGGCCAGGAGGGAGGUGGCUAUGUUUUAGAAGCUUCCCCCAGACAAUAGCAGGCUGAUCUUGAAACACCCGUCUACCUUCACCAAGGUGGGGCUAGCUGUGUGCCACCGGCUUUGGGGAGGUACAGCCACUUGUUAGCCAGGUAACCAAUCCGUGGGACCAAUCCUCUGCUCAGGGUCAUAUCGCUGUCUCAGACUGGCCCAUACUGCUUGGGUCCACUGUGACCAAUAACAGGAGGUCAAGGCCAUGAGCAUCUCACAAGUGGUAGAGACCUUGAACCCACCAGCCAUUGUCACAAUGCUCCCAGGGCUGGGUCGAGGGGGGCGGGGCAGGAGGGCAGGGCUGUGGUGUGUGCCGAGAAAAUGUGCUCCCAGUGCUGGGACACACAGAAGAACCCAAUGGCCUCCUGUACCCUUAGAACAGACCUCAGGCCUGACUCCUGCCCUGGCCAAGUCCCCACCCCCACCCCUGGGGCCCUCUGAGGCUUUCCCAUGGAAUCUCUGGGUGGGUUUGGAUUCAGGCCACAAGGAACAUGUAUCGGAAGCUCACUAACAGGAAAUGCUGUGUGGCCUUGGAUAGCUUUCCAGGCUGUGGCCUUCAGCCGGCUGUGCUCUGGGUAUUGCAGCCAUUGAAGCCUUCAAUGGGAUGGGAGCGGGAAGGGCCUUGGUCCCCAGGGCUGGCAGUGACUCUUUUUCCCUCCUUGGCUGGCUGCCCCUAAACACCCUGAGCAGAGCCCAUUUAUCUAGAGGCUCUGGGUAGACACAGCAUCUUCAAAUCCUGUUUUGGGCCGUGAAUGUCCAGGCUUCAGCUAAAGGGCAGAGAGAGAGAGAGAGAGACAGACUUGACCAUCCCAGGAGAGGUGGGGGUAGAGUGGGGGGGGGGAGUAGAGGGACCCUUUUGGCAGCUCUCUCCUCUUGCCAUGUCCUUAGUACAAGGAGUGGUGGCCCAGAGCCAUGAGGAGGGUACAACAGGAGGCUCAGGUGAAGAGUCACAGCUGGAUCGGGCGGUAGCUCUGCUCAUAUUUUCUGUGCUGGCUCCAAAUGCAGAGGAACCCACUGGCGGAGGAGAUAGCAACCCACCAAAGAGAGAAAAAAGCCAGCACACACGCACCUGCCACCACACAGCAUUCUGGGAGGAACCUGAAUCAAGAACACACUAGGAGGCGGCCGAGGGCCAGAGGAUGGGGGACGGGCUGGAGGACAUGGUUCCCAAGAGUCCUCUGACUCCUUCCCUAAAAUGCAGAGAAUAUCCUGUCCUGAGCACCCCUCUCCCAGGACCGAGAGCCUCCUCAACUCUGUCCCCUGUCCCUGACCCGAAGGCAUGGGGCUCUCUGGGGAGAGGGUCUCCAAGGAUCCAUCCAGCCCUGGACUGCGGCAGGAAAUCCUGAGACCAGUGUGUAAUACAUUAUUUCCAGCUAUGCAGGGGUUCCCAGGCACAGGACUAACCCAUGAGACUCCCCCAACCCCUGCCCCAGCUCUAUGGCCUGGACUAUCCAAGAUCUGUCAAGAAGGACAGAUGGUCCUGUCAGCCAGCAGGUUAGGGACAAGCAGCUGUCACAUGCAGAAGGAUGGAGUUGGGUCCCUACCUCACUCAUGCUUAGUUGCUGUGAAUGCUUGUGUCUGUGUAGGUGCUAAAUGAGGGACAAAGUACAGAUCUGCAUGAGAAAGGCGCAAAUGUGCUUAGAAUCCACCAGGAGGGCCUUGUGGUCCCGGGAAAGGUGACAAGAGUAAGUAACUGAAGCUGGGUGUGGUGGCGCACGCCUUUAAUCCCAGCACCCAGGCAGAGGCAGGGAGAUUUCUGAGUUUGAGGCCAGCCUGGUCUACAAAGUGAGUUCUAGGACAG
rnacentral:lncRNA from 1 species